GAUGAACGCUUUCUUCUUUCCUAAUACAUGCAAGUCGAGCGAACGGACGAGAAGCUUGCUUCUCUGAUGUUAGCGGCGGACGGGUGAGUAGCACGUGGAUAACCUACCUAUAAGACUGGGAUAACUUCGGGAAACCGGAGCUAAUACCGGAUAAUAUUUUGAACCGCAUGGUUCAAAAGUGAAAGACGGUCUUGCUGUCACUUAUAGAUGGAUCCGCGCUGCAUUAGCUAGUUGGUAAGGUAACGGCUUACCAAGGCAACGAUGCAUAGCCGACCUGAGAGGGUGAUCGGCCACACUGGAACUGAGACACGGUCCAGACUCCUACGGGAGGCAGCAGUAGGGAAUCUUCCGCAAUGGGCGAAAGCCUGACGGAGCAACGCCGCGUGAGUGAUGAAGGUCUUCGGAUCGUAAAACUCUGUUAUUAGGGAAGAACAUAUGUGUAAGUAACUGUGCACAUCUUGACGGUACCUAAUCAGAAAGCCACGGCUAACUACGUG
rnacentral:rRNA from 1 species